GUGUGAAAGUUAUACAUAUAUAUAUCUUCAACGUUUACUAAAAAUAACCCAGGUAUCAGAAUACAUCAGGACUCUUGUUAGUGGUUGUGUUUUGUCAUUUCUUCGUGUUUUGGAAUUUCUUUGUGUUUUAUAAUUUCUUUGUGUUUUGUAAUUUUGAGAAUGUGGUGUUAAUGUAAAAUAUUCAGUAUUCCCUGUUAAAUUUAGUUGCAUGAUUUUUUCUUCAUGUUAAGCCAAUUUGGAACUUGAUUGUAUAGCCACCUGUCUUUUGUUGGAGAUUAUAUGUUAAACUCUUUGUGUCUAUUUGUCCUUUUAGCACCUUGCAAGGUUUGUCUCAUAUGUCUCAUACACAUGGCUCAAUUCUCCUGAUACUAGUCUAUCUUGCACAAGUCAAGUCAGGUUAGUUUGAUAUUCUACUCUUAAUAAUGUGAAAUUGUUCAAGUAUUUUUAUCCGAUUUACUAGUGUAUUUGCCUUUUACAUCGUACCAAUCGAACAUAUAACGACUUAACGGUAUCAUUAUUGUAAAUU
rnacentral:lncRNA from 1 species